GCAGCAGCAAUUGUGCUGAAUUAUGAUUAUGAGAAUAGAAAAUGCUCUGUCUAGACCAAGGUGUCUCAAAGUUUGGGGCACUCGAACAGCAGCUUUAUGCCCACAGCAGCUACCUAGGGCCCAUCAUUCAGACUGAGUUAGGUUGGCAGGAGUAGGGAGGGAGGUAACGGUGAGACAGAAAGGAAGGUGGGAAAGGAGGGGCGAGGUCAGAAUCACGCAGUUUUAAAAAGGCAUCUCAGAUACUGAGUCUAAGGAUGCUGGUCUAUGCCAUCAGUCCUCAUGUUAAAUGAGAGCAAGACUGUCCCUUGAGAUCUGUGUUCCAAUUUUAUUUUGUUCUCUAGUGCAGUGGUCCCCAACUUUUUUGGCAUAAGCAACCAGUUUUGUGGAAGACAGUUUUUCCAUGGAUGUUGUUGGAGGGGAUGGUUUCAGGAUGAAACUGUUUCACCUUAGAUCAUCAGGUAUCAGAUUCUCACAAGGAGCACACAACCUAGAGCCCGCACAUAUGCAGUUCAUAAUAGGGUUUGAGCUCCUAUGAGAAUCUAAUGCCACCACCGAUCUGACAGGAGGUGGAGCUCAGGCGGUAAUUCUUGCUACCCUGCCGCUCACCUCCUGCUGUGCCGCCCGGUUCCUAAUGGUCCUGCAGACCAGUACCAGUCUGUGGCAUGGGGGCUGGGGACCUUUGCCCUAGUGCAUCCGUUUCCUAUGGCCACUGUAACAAAUUACCACAAAUUUAGUAGCUUAAAACAAGACACAGUUAUUACUGGACAGUUUUAGAGGUCAGAAGUCUGAAAUCAGUAUCACUGGGCUGAAGUUGAGGUGUUGGCAGGGUCAUCCUCUAAGGGAGAAUCUGUUCCCUGCCUUUCCCAGCUUUUAGAGCUGCGUUCCUUGCAUUGCUUGGCUCAUGGCCCCUUCCUUCACCUUCAGGGCACCAGCGCAGCAUCUCCUCUCUCCAACGGUGCUUCCCUCUGCUCCUGCCACACAGCCUUCUCCUCUUCUGUGUCAGAGCUCCCUCUGCCUUGCUUGUGAUUGCAUUGAGGGCCCACUGGUCUAACCCAAGAUCAUCCCCUCAUCUCAAAACCCUUAAUUUAAUCACAUCUGCAAAGUGUCUUCUACCAUCCAAGGUAAUAGUCUGUCAUAGGUUCCAGGGAUUAGGACAUUGAUACCUUUGGGAGCCUUAUUCAGCCUAUCACACCAAGUGGUGGUGUCUUUCUUAAAGUCACAUUUAUAAAGUCAGGUGUAACUAACACAAUAAAAUUCACUCCCUUAAAGUAUACAGUGUACAGUUUGAUGAGUUUUGACAAAAGUACACAGUUGUGUAACAGUUAUCACGAUCAAGAAACAGAACAUUUCCAUUACCCGAAAAAGUUUCCUUCUGUCUCUGUGUAGUGAUCUGUCUCUUGCCCCAGUAAUUUUGCCUUUUCCAGAAUGUCAUAUAAAUAUAAUCCUAUGUAUCCAGUUUUGUGUGUCUGGCUUUUUUCACUUAGCAUGAUGUUUUUGAGAUUUAUCCAUGUAGCCAUGUGUCAUUCAUUCCUUUUUGUUGCUGAAUGAUAUUCCAUUGAAUGGAAUUGUGUAUUUAUUCACCAGUUAACAAUAUUUGGGUUGUUUCCUGUUGGGAACAAUUUUAAGAACCUGCUAAGCUGUUUU
rnacentral:lncRNA from 1 species